GACGUAGGGCGCGAGCGUUGUCCGGAUUUAUUGGGCGUAAAGAGCUCGUAGGCGGCUUGUCGCGUCGACUGUGAAAACCCGUGGCUCAACCAUGUGGUCUGCAGUCGAUACGGGCAGGCUAGAAUUCGGUAGGGGAGACUGGAAUUCCUGGUGUAGCGGUGAAAUGCGCAGAUAUCUGGAGGAGCACCGGUGGCGAAGGCGGCAUCCUGGACCGGUAUUGACACUGAAAAGCGAAAGCCAGGGGAGCAAACGGG
rnacentral:rRNA from 1 species